GCGCCUGGCAGGAGGAAGCUGGCCUUGUGUUGGGUCUUUACAUCACAGCAGAACUGGGCCUUAAAGCGCUAGAAGGAAGAGGCUGGCAGGAUGGCCUUGGUAGCAUUCACUGUUAGAGAGUAAGAGCUUGACAACUCCAGAUGAGUGAUAAGACCUACCCUACUUUGGCAAAGAGAAUAUCUGGAAAAUUCUCCCAGAUCUUCCUACCUUGGGCCUUCUCCAGCCCUGAGAUUGUUCCUGGAGAGGUGGUCAGGGAGCGGCAAGGGUUGCUGCUUGGCAGGGCUGUCCCAGUCUCUCUAGCACAUUUAGGAGCAUGUGUGAGUUCUCUGCAAAUGAAGAACUGCAUUGGUGGUUCCUCCUGUCAUUGUCUGGACAGACCUCAAGACUUGAUGUUAAAGAGUGCAUCAGACUUGGUCCUGGAGUGGAGUGUGUCCCCCUAAAUUUGGACUCUGACCCUGGAAUUCCGUCUUGAUCUUGGAGCAGGUAGCCCUUCACCUUGGAGUAUGUACAUGAAGCACAUUCAGAAACAGGCAUGGGAGGGGAGGCCUUCAAGCCUCUCUUCUGCUGGCCUGAGUGUGGGGAGUGAGCCAAUGAGAUGGGACAGGUGACUUUAGAAUUAGCAAACUUUGGUAACAGAACCCAUGAUGGAGUUGAGUGAGUGAGCAAUGGGAUGGGGUCAAGGGUCAAGGGGGCGCUGGAAGGAAAUCAUGGAGGUCACUGGGGAUGUGGCUAGAUUGAAAGGGCCAGUGGGCCAAGGACUCAUGUUCCUGGAGCAUGCUUGGCAGAACACCUGUGUACCUGUGUAUUCCAGUGCGGAAACAAGGCUGAAGGCUCUGGCUGCCUUGAGAUAGAAUCUGGCCUUGAGCAGCAGAUGCUCUGCCCAGGACCCAGAGAUUUCUGGGCCUAAGCUAGAGUGCAGCCCUUGGGGACAAAGCAUGCUCCAUGCUCCAGAGUCUGGUCUGACCUCUGUCUUCUCAGAACUUCUGUGGUGGGACCUUUAAACAGUGUGCCUUCUCUAGGCUCCGGUUCGUCUUAGUCUGUGCUGGCUGUUGUACCAAAAGCUCAUAGACAGAAUGACUUAUAAGCAAUAUAACCUUUGACCCUGAAAUCCAGUCAAGGCAGAAGCAGAUGCUGGAUUGUCUAUGACAUUGAGGGCCAACUUUUCCAUAGGUGGUGUGUCAUUGUGUCCUCACAUACAUGGGUUUAAGGGGCAAAGAGGCUCUCUCUCUCUCUCUCUCUCUCUCUCUCUCUCUGUGUGUGUGUGUGUGUGUGUGUGUGUGUGUGUGUAUAGGCUAGAGGUCAGUCUUGGGUAUCUUCCCAAUUGCUCUUCACUGUGCUUUUAGAUAGCGUCUCUUAAUGAUCCUGGAGCUCACGAAUUCUGCAAGACCAACUGUCCGAUGAGUCCAGGAGUCCCCUCAUCUCUGACUCUUCAGUGCCUGGAUCUCAAGCACACACCAUUGUGCCUGGCUUUUUCUUUGAGUGCUGGGAAUCCGAACUCGGGUUCUCAUGUUAGCUUGACACUCACUUUAUCAACUGAGCCCGAGUCAUCUCUCCAGCCGUGGCUGUUUUGUUUUUGUUCUUGUUCUAGUAAGAGUCUCCCAUUGGCGUGGACCUUGACAAGGAGGUCAGUGAGCCCCAAGAACCCACCUGUUUCCAACCCUGACAGUGCUAUGAUUACAAAUGCGCAUUAUCAUUGGGGGGGGGCUGUGUCUAAGGAUCAAACUGAGGUCCUCAUCCUUAAAACAGCAAGGACUUAAUGGAUGGAGCGAUGUCUCUACUGCUUUUCUUCUUUUGUAAGGACUUGGAUUCUCUUUAUAAGGGCUGUUUUCAUGGUGUACUUAUCCCCAAAGGCUCUCAACCCAGUAGUAUAGAGCAUUAGGUCUCAGCAUUAUGUUCUGACCAUAGGAACAGAGUAGCAGGCAAGUCCAAGGUCCAGAGCAGGUGUCUGGGAGCUGACGGUCAGGGGUCUAAGGGCUGUCUGCAGUUGAGUCUGACUGGGCCUGCUUCCAAGGUUCAAACUGAAGCCGUACUUGUGUUCAGUAGGCCAGGGACUCAGAUACUCCAUGCCAUUAACUUGGGCAGUGUCUGCCUUCAGAAUACCUCAGCUGCAAAAGCAAACAAAGAACUCUCUACUUGGGAACCAAAGGGGCACUGGGGGGCAGGAUCUGUGAUGCCCUUGGAGAGAGAGGCGUCAGGUACUAAGGGCCCUCCCCCACAGGAACCUUGAAACCAUGGAGCUCUGUUCAUGACCCCUCUGCUAGGAUGCAUGAUCCCUGCAACUUCAGGAUGGGGAGUCCUGAGCCCUGUUGGGGCUCAGGUGCGGUUAAGUGGGCUCAGGUGUGGGAAGUGUCAGGGCCCUGACUGAGACUCUGCUUAGGAGUCUCUGGGGACAAAAAUGCCACAGGUGCUUUAGCCAGGAUGUUGAGUCUGGGCUGACAUGACUCAGCCAUGUCUGAGGUCAUAGUGGAGACCCCGCCUUCCAUGGCUUACGCUGUUCCCUCUCUCCUGUGUGGGAUAAGGACCUCACUGUGGAGCCCCUUCUCAGAGCAAGGAGCUAAAUGUGUUCUCUAAUCUCCCUUUUCACCUCUGCCCCUUCUGGGUAUCCCCUCUGGAUGUCUUGGUGAACUAACCAGCAGAUUCAGAUGUGAGCUUUCCUGUCCUUAUUGCUGUGAUCUGGGUCUGUUCAGUUGGCUACUCGGGAGACUAUACUUCGGGCAGAAUGGAUGUCAGAAAGCAACAAAGGCUACAUGGUGCCCUUCGAUGCCACACAUGAGGCAGAAACACAUCUAGAACUCCAUAUUGUCUUCUUCUUCUGGGACCAUUUGUUUGUAAUAAAUUACUAAAACUGGAGCAAAAA